GUUUUACAAAUUCAGGGCCUUCUUCUCUCAGAGCUGUGAUGGCCAAAGAAGGGUUGCUACCAGAAGUUUGUUGGUCCAUGAGUCUAUCUCUGAUAUUCUCCACCCAGGAUAUACUGCACACUACUGAAGAUUAGAGUUUUUAAAGUCAGACUGCGACUGCAAGAAGACAUGCGGGCAAUCAAGCGUCAUCUUUCUCCUCCAUUUUUAUAACAACUGGAGUCUUCUAAAAUGAGUGCCACUAUCCACAAAAGCUUCCUGAAAUCUCUCCUGGUACCAGGUGUAUAAUAUGAUGAUUCCACAAGUUUAUACACUGUCAGUGCUCAUCACAGUAAGUGUACCCUUAAUCCCCUUUACCUAUUUCACCAUUCCCUCCAUCCACCACGCCCC